rnacentral:rRNA from 1 species
AGCAGCCGCGGUAAUUCCAGCUCCAAUAGCGUAUAUUAAAGUUGUUGCAGUUAAAAAGCUCGUAGUUGAAUUUCGGGAUCGGCAUGUUGGUCGUGCCUUACGGGGUAUGAACUGGCAUCGCCGGUUUCUCACCUUCUGGAGAAUCGUGAUGCUCUUAAUUGGGUGUUACGUGGAUCCAGGACCUUUACCUUGAAAAAAUUAGAGUGUUUAAAGCAGGCAUAUUGCUCGAAUACAUUAGCAUGGAAUAAUAAAAUAGGACGGUUUGGUUCUAUUUUGUUGGUUUCUAGGAUCACCGUAAUGAUUAAUAGGGAUAGUUGGGGGCAUUAGUAUUCAAUUGUCAGAGGUGAAAUUCUUGGAUUUAUUGAAGACUAACUACUGCGAAAGCAUUUGCCAAGGAUGUUUUCAUUAAUCAAGAACGAAAGUUAGGGGAUCGAAGACGAUCAGAUACCGUCGUAGUCUUAACCAUAAACUAUGCCGACUGGAAUCAGACGAUGUAAUUUUUUAAUGUACUCGUUUGGCA